rnacentral:rRNA from 1 species
AUUGAACGCUGGCGGCAUGCCUUACACAUGCAAGUCGAACGGUAACGCGGGGCAACCUGGCGACGAGUGGCGAACGGGUGAGUAAUGCAUCGGAACGUGCCCAGUAGUGGGGGAUAGCCCGGCGAAAGCCGGAUUAAUACCGCAUACGACCUACGGGUGAAAGCGGGGGACCGUACGGCCUCGCGCUAUUGGAGGGGUCGAUGUCGGAUUAGGUUGUUGGUGGGGUAAAAGCCUACCAAGCCGACGAUCUGUAGCUGGUCUGAGAGGACGACCAGCCACACUGGGACUGAGACACGGCCCAGACUCCUACGGGAGGCAGCAGUGGGGAAUUUUGGACAAUGGGGGCAACCCUGAUCCAGCCAUGCCGCGUGCGGGAAGAAGGCCUUCGGGUUGUAAACCGCUUUUGUCAGGGAAGAAACGCUCUGGGCUAAUACCCCGGGGUAAUGACGGUACCUGAAGAAUAAGCACCGGCUAACUACGUGCCAGCAGCCGCCGCAGUAA